rnacentral:rRNA from 1 species
UACGAAGGGGGCUAGCGUUGUUCGGAAUCACUGGGCGUAAAGCGCACGUAGGCGGCUUACUAAGUCAGGGGUGAAAUCCUGGAGCUCAACUCCAGAACUGCCUUUGAUACUGGCGACCUUGAGUCCGGGAGAGGUGAGUGGAACUGCGAGUGUAGAGGUGAAAUUCGUAGAUAUUCGCAAGAACACCAGUGGCGAAGGCGGCUCACUGGCCCGGUACUGACGCUGAGGUGCGAAAGCGUGGGGAGCAAACAGG